UAUAGUCAAGUUGCUAUACUCGUUUUAUCUAUGCAUAUAUUUUUUUUAAUAGUUUUCUGUUCAAAGAUCUCAACCGAAGUUCAACUCCUAUGAUUUCGCCUUCCUUGCCACAGAAAUCCAAUAGUAUCCAACUGCAGCCCCGGAGAACAACACCCUGCCAUGACAGAACACCCAGGCAGGACAGAAGUACUGUGGCUGGACGGAAGACAAAUACCGAAAUCCAAUAGUAUCCAACUGCAGCCCCGGAGAACAACACCCUGCCAUGACAGAACACCCAGGCAGGACACAAGUACUGUGGCUGGACGGAAGACGAAUACCGGUAAACGUAUUUAUCGCUUGAAUUAACAAAACAUAGAAAUAAAAAAAUAUUUCGACACGUUAGUAACCACUUUUAGAGCUUAAUAAAGGUUUAACGUUAUUUAGACAAAUACCUCAGGAUUUUUUCUUUGCGUCCUUAAACUUAUCAGACCAAAACAUUAGAAUAAAGCAAUAUUAUGACAUGUCAGUAAGCUUUUUUUAUAGCUUAAUUUUAUUAACGUUAUAUGGACGAAAAAACUGAUUUUGGGUGUAGACAAUUAUUUAAUAGAAUUGUGUAUUAAACACUUUACUCAUUAAGUAAUUGACCAUUAGAAUUAAGUCAUUAGAAUUAAGUAAUUGUUUUAAUAUGUCUAAUUGAAUCAAAUUUAUUUUUUUGUAAAGUAUACCAUACCAUCAUAAUUUGAUAUAAAUAUACAUUGAAGAAUAACCACACCAAAGUUUCCUCACAAUUUAUUAAACAAAUAAUCUACAGAAGCCAAAAGAUAUAGCUUCUUCAUGCUGACUGCCAUCAGCUUCAACUCACUGUCAAAAGAAUCAAACAGUCAAAUCAAUAUUAAGCCUAUACAAUAUAUUAUUUGUAUUCUGUCAAUGGAAACGUCAUUCACUUCUCUGUUUCGCUUCAGUCUGAAGACUGGUGGAAUAAAUAUACAUUGAAGAAUAACCACACCAAAGUUUCCUCACAAUUUAUUUAACAAAUAAUCUACAGAAGCCCACGGGACCCUGACCCGUGGGCUUGUAUGGGUCAAGGUCUGGUCCGACCCAUACAAGCCCACCAGCAAGUGACCUCCGACCUGACAACGGAGGUUGGAGGGUCACCUAAACCUGAACUGUGUGUGCGUGGGAAUAUUUUUAAUUUGUAACUUUAUUCUAUGAAUAAACUCAAAAUCAUACCAAUAGUGGUGUUGCUGUUUUAUUUCAGCCUGUAAAAUUGCUGAAUAGCAAUCUCGGAUUAGCAACUUGAAUGCAAAUUUGGAUUUAGAGCUUAUAUCUUUAGUUGCAGAUGAGCCCAAAAAUCUAGUAAUAGAUACAGUUGUGUUUAGAUCUUAACCGAAGUUCAACUCGUAUGAAAUCGCCUUCCUCGCCACCAAAAAUAUACUGCAUAACGUUGCAGUAUAUGUGUAACGUUGCUAUACUAGUUUUAUUUAUACAUAUGCGUUUGAAUACAGUUUUCUGCUAAUAGAGCCCAGCCGAAAUUCACCUCGAAUCUAUUUGCGUUCCUGGCCAUAAAAAAUAUAUAUAUACUGCGUGCAGUUCAUUUUUUGUCCACCAGACGGCAGGGGUUGACUGACUGUGAUUAUCGGCGUUCGGGAAUGUUUUUAAUUUAUAACUUUAUUAUAUGAAUAAAAUCAAUACUUUAAAAACAGCGGCGUUUCUGUUGUAUUUUCGGCUUUAAUGUGUAGUUAUAUGUUUUUAGAGCUUAACCGAAGCUCUCCUCGUAUGUAAUCUGGCAACAAAAAAUAUACUGCCCGCAGUUCUCGUUUUGUCCAUCAGAGGGCAGGCGUUGACUGACUGUGAAACAAAGCGUGUGUGGGAAUGUCUUUUAAGUUGUAACAUUAUUCCAUUAACGAAGUCAAAAUCUUAACUUAAUCUUAACUGUUUGGUUCAUUUAAUUGCAUAAAUAGUAUUUCAUGGAACACCAAUCUCGAAACGUAUGCUAUGACAACGACCUACCUAUGGGGACGAUAUAUCCGGGGCACCGGUAGUGCUGGAUAUCCGGGGCUUGAAUUCCUCAUCCGUCGGCCUGUAAUUGUUUACAGUCCGACGAGCAACUUUAAACGCAAGUAUUGAGUUGCAGCACAUAUAUAUAUUUGCAGGCAAGUCUAACGUUGCUAUACUCGUUUUAUCUAUGCACAUUUUUUUUUAAUAGUUUUCUGUUCAAAGAUCUCAACCGAAGUUCAACUCCUAUGAUUUCGCCUUCCUUUCCACAGAAAUCCAAAAGUAUCCAACUGCAGCCCCGGAGAACACCCUGGCAUGACGGAACACCCAGGCGGGACAGAAGCACUGUGGCUGGACGCAAAUGUAAAGCUGAUGUAAUGCCGAAUUCAACAACCGUAGAAACAGAGGAAAGGACACAACAUUAUCGAGACCAAUCUCAUGGGCCCUGACGAACCGGUGAAACGGAUAAGUCUGAUGGAUUUGACCACGGGUCGAACCAAUGAUGGGGCAAGAGUGGUGUUUUGUUUGCUUAAAUACAUAAAGGGGUAACACUGUCUUCUUUUUUAUCGGGCGUCAUGAAAAAAAACUAAAGGGCUAACUCUGUCAUUUUCUAUUAAUUCAAACUUAAGACAACACUGGUGUUUUUUUUUAAUCUUAAAAACAUAAGGGGUAACACUGUUGUUUAUCGGUCGUCAUGAAAAAAUCAUACAUAAGGGGGUAACGCUGUCGCUUUGGAUCAAUUAUUAAAUAAAGGGGUAAGACUGUCGUUAGUUCUCAAAGGAAACACAAGGGGUAACACUUGUUUUUUAUUGGUCGUCGUGAAAAAAACAUAAGGCG